UCUCUAGAACAUCGGAAGAAAUUGUACUUUUCCAAUAUCACAACAUGAGAGUAUAUUAAGAAGUAUAAUGUAUUUGAGGAAAAUCCUGCAAAAACCCCUGUUGAUACAAAUUUACACUUAGUCAAAAAUACGAGUGAAUCUGUGUCACAACUAAAGUAUUCACAAGUGAUAGGUAGUUUAAUGUAUAUUAUGAACUGCACUCGACUAGUCAUAGCUUUUGUUGUGAAUAAACCUAUUAGAUUCAUAAGCAAUCCAAGCCAAUAUCAUUGGAAGGCUUUAACAAGGGUUCUUAGGUAUUUGAACUAUACCUUAACCUAUAGAUUACACUUCUCAAAAUAUCCUGCGGUAUUGAAAGAAUAUUGUGAUGUGAAUUGGAUUUCUAACAUGAAGGAUGCUAAAUAUACUAGUAGUCAUAUAUUUAACAUUUGUGAAGCUGCUAUGUCAAGGAA
rnacentral:lncRNA from 1 species